rnacentral:tRNA from 1 species
GCCCAGAUGGCGGAAUUGGCAGACGCGUCGGACUCAAAAUCCGAUUCCUGCAAAGGAGUGAGGGUUCGACCCCCUCUCUGGGCACCA